AGAAGCUACUGAGUGUUAAAUGGGGGAGUAACUUAAUCAGAUUUGUGUUUCAGAAAGAGCUCUCAAGACCCAAGCCAGGACUUGAGGGAUAUGUUCACGAGGCACCGGCAUUCCAGGCAGAGGGAUAGAAACAGGAAAGUGCAGGGCAGGUCAAAACGUCUCUGACACUUCUCAGGAAGAAUUCCUUGCUACCUCCUCUGUGCUGUCACUUGGUAAAUAUCUCUGUAUGAUGUAUAUCACACUGUAGUAUCUUAGCUUAGUCUGUCUCUUCUUUGAGGGGAGCACUUCCCGGUUAUUCCACUUAGUAUCCCUGGGCACAGUGUGUCAUAGAUGUCAUUGCUUAAUGUUCGAAUUUCUAAAAAGGAGACAUAAGGAGUUUUAAAACCAAGAAGUGGAUGGAGCGUGGAUUCGGGCUGUGAGCAGACCGUUGGAAAGGAUUGCAGAGGGGUGGAAGCCCAGAAAUGCAGAGGCAACAGAGAGGGAAGAAAAUAGAAAA
rnacentral:lncRNA from 1 species